rnacentral:rRNA from 1 species
CCUACGGGCGGCAGCAGUGAGGAAUAUUGGUCAAUGGGCGCGAGCCUGAACCAGCCAAGUAGCGUGAAGGAUGACUGCCCUACGGGUUGUAAACUUCUUUUAUAAAGGAAUAAAGUGAGGCACGUGUGCCUUUUUGUAUGUACUUUAUGAAUAAGGAUCGGCUAACUCCGUGCCAGCAGCCGCGGUAAUACGGAGGAUCCGAGCGUUAUCCGGAUUUUUUGGGUUUAAAGGGAGCGUAGAUGGGUUGUUAAGUCAGUUGUGAAAAUUUGCGGCUCAAACGUAAAAUUGCAAUUGAUACUGGCAGUCUUGAGUAGAGGUGAGGUAUGCGGAAUGCGUGGUGUAGCGGUGAAAUGCAUAGAUAUCACGAAGAACUCCGAUUGCGAAGGCAGCAUACUAA